AGAUCUCACCACUGAUUGGUCAGUUUUAAUUGUCUCUGAUUAAGCCGCACCCAUCAGAAAAACUCUCGACCAAUCACGACUGGAAGGAGGGUUCAUGGUAUUGAUUGAAAUAGAUUACUGGGAGUAUAUGAACUCAAAUAAAUAGGGGCUAAUAAUUAAACCUGAAUAUCAUUCAGACAUCUGACAGCAAUUCGAAGAACACGUAUUUACUUUUUCGACACAAUUUCAUAUUGACGAAGACAUCGUUUUUACUCGUUACUUUUUAAAGUAGUGUGAAGUUGCGGUUGGAACAAUAUCACCAUAAGGAUUGGAAGCGUUAAUAAUGUCGACUCAACUCCUCUCCGCUCGACCCACCCGCUCUCCGAUGGCUGGGAAUGCUAACUCACCGGUCCCCAUCGAGGUACGCGAGCCCGAUUUCAACAAGGCCAUCGCUUCGGUCAUCUGGCUUCGACAUCAUCGACAACCAACCUCCCGGGUCUUUAACUGCCUUGUCUCGAACUGUCCUCUCUGUCCGGCCUCGAGUUUAACUGAAAGAUCCUUUUCAGCGAAACUUAGGAGCGUACCACAGCCACGAUGGAGGUCGACAUCCGAAAUUAAUCAACCAAAGGUCGUCAACUGGCUGAUACCGUCAUCGACACCCUCAUCGAGCUCCAUGUCCCAUCGAAAGAGGCCAUCAUCAAGGACGUCAUCCCCGCCGAAGAAACGUCUCGCCCGCUCACCUCCGUCUUCUCUCGAUCACCGCCCCGUCACUCCAGAAAGUCUCCGCUUCUGCUGUCCAUUCUGCCCGAUGUCGUUUGUCAAGAAGGACGAUUUUACCAUCCAUCGUCGGUUUCAUCUGGGAACUGAUGUCUACUACUGUCAAUAUUGCCAGAAACCCUUCGAUAGUCCUUCUCGAUUGGUCAAACAUCGUCGCGUUCACACCCUAGGGCAGCCGUUUCGAUGUCCGUUCAAAGGAUGCCCUUCAGAGUUCACACAACAAAGAAGCCUGGAUAGACACAUCAGUCAGCAUCACCAGAACGAAUGAAUGACAGCGUAGAUCUUCCCAAAGAACUUUAUCAGAACUCUAACAGUUUCCAUCUCGUUGAAGUGUACUGUAUUGUUGGUGGCGUCUUAUUCCAAUGCUUCAAAUCUAUAUCAUGUUGAUAUGAAGUUGAAUAAAUGGAUUUUUAUAUUGCA